UACAGAGGGGCAAGCGUUGUUCGGAAUUACUGGCGUAAAGGGCGCGUAGGUGGCCUUCUAAGUUGAACGUGAAAUCCCUGGCUCAACCCAGGAACUGCGUCCAAGACUGGGAGGCUUGAAUCCGGGAGAGGGAUGCGGAAUUCCAGGUGUAGCGGUGAAAUGCGUAGAUAUCAGGAAGAACACCCGUGGCGAAGGCGGCUCUCUGGGACGGUACUGACGCUGAGACGCGAAGCGUGGGGAGCGAACAGG
rnacentral:rRNA from 1 species